AGAGCAAGUGGUGGAUGCCUUGGCUAGUAGAGGCGAUGAAAGACGUGCCAGGCUGCGAUAAGUCUCGGGGAGCCGUCAAGGGGCUUUGAUCCGGGAAUUUCUGAAUGGGGCAACCCAACUAAUAGAGAUAUUAGUUACCGUAUAACGGAGCGAACGAGGGGAAUUGAAACAUCUUAGUACCCUCAGGAAAAGAAAUCAAAAGAGAUUACGCUAGUAGCGGCGAGCGAACGCGUAAGAGGGCAAACCACUAGUUUACUAGUGGGGUUGUAGGACUGCAAUAUAGACUAAACUUAGCUAAUAGAACAACCUGGAAAGGUUAGGCACAGAGGGUGAUACCCCCGUAUAUGAAAGCUUUGUUUUACUUAGCAGUAUCCUGAGUAGGGCGGAACACGUGAUAUUCUGUCUGAAGCUGGGUAGACCACUAUCCAACCCUAAAUACUACUACUAGACCGAUAGUGCACAAGUACCGUGAGGGAAAGGUGAAAAGAACUGAGGUGAUCAGAGUGAAAUAGAACCUGAAACCAUUUGCUUACAAUCAUUCAGAGCCCUAUGAUUUAUCAGGGUGAUGGACUGCCUUUUGCAUAAUGAGCCUGCGAGUUGUGAUGUCUGGCGAGGUUAAGGAAACCCGGAGCCGUAGCGAAAGCGAGUCUUAAUAGGGCGUUUAGUCAGACGUUGCAGACCCGAAACGAUGUGAUCUAUCCAUGAGCAGGUUGAAACCGGUGUAAGAGCCGGUGGAGGACCGAACCCGCUAGCGUUGAAAAGCUAUGGGAUGACUUGUGGAUAGGGGUGAAAGGCCAAUCAAACAUCGUGAUAGCUGGUUCUCUCCGAAAUAUAUUUAGGUAUAGCGUCAUGUAGUAACACUAGGGGGUAGAGCACUGAAUGGGCUAGGGCAUACACCAAUGUACCAAACCCUAUCAAACUCCGAAUACCUAGUGUGUAAUCAUGGCAGUCAGGCGGCGAGUGAUAAAAUCCGUCGUCGAGAGGGGAACAACCCAGACUAACAGCUAAGGUCCCUAAAUCUCAUUUAAGUGGAAAACGAUGUGGAGUUACUUAAACAACCAGGAGGUUGGCUUAGAAGCAGCCAUCCUUUAAAGAAAGCGUAAUAGCUCACUGGUCUAGUGAUUCUGCGCGGAAAAUAUAACGGGGCUAAAAUGAGUACCGAAGCUUUAGACUUAGUUUUACUAAGUGGUAGGAGAGCGUUGUAUUUGCGUUGAAGGUAUACCGGUAAGGAGUGCUGGAGCGAAUACAAGUGAGCAUGCAGGCAUGAGUAGCGAUAAUUGGGGUGAGAAUCCCCAACGCCGUAAACCCAAGGUUUCCUACGCGAUGCUCGUCAUCGUAGGGUUAGCCGGGUCCUAAGCAAAGUCCGAAAGGGGUAUGCGAUGGAAAAUUGGUUAAUAUUCCAAUGCCAACUAUAAUGUGCGAUGGAAGGACGCUUAGAGUUAGAGGAGCCAGCGGAUGGUAGUGCUGGUCGAAAGGUGCAGGUUGGAGUUCAGGCAAAUCCGAACUCCUUUAAGCCGAGGCCUUAUAGGUGCGUGAAGUUCUUCGGAAUGAAUCGUAAAUCCUUGAUACUGUCGAGCCAAGAAAAGUUUCUAAGUUUAGUUAUAGUUGCCCGUACCGUAAACCGACACAGGUGGGUGGGAUGAGUAUUCUAAGGCGCGUGGAAGAACUCUCUUCAAGGAACUCUGCAAAAUAGCACCGUAUCUUCGGUAUAAGGUGUGCCUAACUUUGUGAAGGAUUUACUCCGUAAGCAUUGAAGGUUACAACAAAGAGUCCCUCCCGACUGUUUACCAAAAACACAGCACUCUGCUAACUCGUAAGAGGAUGUAUAGGGUGUGACGCCUGCCCGGUGCUCGAAGGUUAAUUGAUGACGUUAGCUCUGCGAAGCGUUUGAUCGAAGCCCGAGUAAACGGCGGCCGUAACUAUAACGGUCCUAAGGUAGCGAAAUUCCUUGUCGAUUAAAUAUCGACCUGCAUGAAUGGCGUAACGAGAUGGGAGCUGUCUCGAAGAGGGAUCCAGUGAAAUUGUAGUGGAGGUGAAAAUUCCUCCUACCCGCGGCAAGACGGAAAGACCCCGUGGACCUUUACUACAGCUUGACACUGCUAUUGGGAUAAAAAUGUGCAGGAUAGGCGGGAGGCUUUGAUCCAUAGACGCCAGUUUAUGGUGAGCCAUUGUUGAGAUACCGCUCUUUUUUAUUCUGAUAGCUAACUAGCUUGAGUUAUCCUCAAGUAGGACAAUGUCUGGUGGGUAGUUUGACUGGGGCGGUCGCCUCCCAAAAUGUAACGGAGGCUUACAAAGGUUGGCUCAGAACGGUUGGAAAUCGUUCGUAGAGUAUAAAGGCAUAAGCCAGCUUAACUGCGAGACAUACACGUCAAGCAGAGACGAAAGUCGGUCUUAGUGAUCCGGUGGUUCUGUGUGGAAGGGCCAUCGCUCAAAGGAUAAAAGGUACCCCGGGGAUAACAGGCUGAUCUCCCCCAAGAGCUCACAUCGACGGGGAGGUUUGGCACCUCGAUGUCGGCUCAUCGCAUCCUGGGGCUGGAGCAGGUCCCAAGGGUAUGGCUGUUCGCCAUUUAAAGCGGUACGCGAGCUGGGUUCAGAACGUCGUGAGACAGUUCGGUCCCUAUCUGCCGUGGGCGCAAGAAGAUUGAGGAGAGUUGACCCUAGUACGAGAGGACCGGGUCGAACCAACCACUGGUGUACGAGUUGUCCUGCCAAGGGCACCGCUCGGUAGCUAUGUUGGGAUGUGAUAACUGCUGAAAGCAUCUAAGCAGGAAGCCAACUCCAAGAUGAAUCUUCUUUUAAGAGCUCAUAUAGACUAUGUGUUUGAUAGGCUGGGUGUGUAAUGGAUGAAAGUCCUUUAGCUGACCAGUACUAAUAGCUCGUCUGCUUAUCUU
rnacentral:rRNA from 1 species